ACGCACGCUGGCGGCGUGCUUAACACAUGCCAGUCGAACGCUGAAGCUCAGCUUUUGUUGGGUGGAUGAGUGGCGAACGGGUGAGUAACACGUGAGUAACCUGCCCCCUUCUUUGGGAUAACGCCCGGAAACGGGUGCUAAUACUGGAUAUUCACUGGUCUUCGCAUGGGGGUGGGUGGAAAGGGUUUUUCUGGUGGGGGAUGGGCUCGCGGCCUAUCAGCUUGUUGGUGGGGUGAUGGCCUACCAAGGCUUUGACGGGUAGCCGGCCUGAGAGGGUGACCGGUCACAUUGGGACUGAGAUACGGCCCAGACUCCUACGGGAGGCAGCAGUGGGGAAUAUUGCACAAUGGGCGCAAGCCUGAUGCAGCGACGCCGCGUGAGGGAUGGAGGCCUUCGGGUUGUGAACCUCUUUCGCUCAUGGUCAAGCCGCAACAAUGGUUGUGGUGAGGGUAGUGGGUAAAGAAGCGCCGGCUAACUACGUG
rnacentral:rRNA from 1 species